rnacentral:rRNA from 1 species
AACGUAGGACGCAAGCGUUAUCCGGAGUUACUGGGCGUAAAGCGCGGGCAGGCGGUUCCCCAAGUCUGAUGUGAAAUCUCCGGGCUUAACCGGGAGAGGCCAUUGGAAACUGGGGGGCUGGAGGGCAGUAGAGGUAGGCGGAAUUCCGGGUGUAGCGGUGGAAUGCGUAGAGAUCCGGAAGAACACCGGUGGCGAAGGCGGCGCUCUGGGCCGGUACUGACGCUGAGGAGCGAAAGCGUGGGGAGCAAACAGG